UCCCAUCCGUCACUGGCUGAGGACUGGUCCCAGGGCAUCAACUCUCUGGCUUUUCUUUUUUCUUUCUUUUUUUUUUUUUUUGAGACACAGUCUUGCUCUGUCACCCAGGCUGGACUGCAAUGGCAUGAUCUCGGCUCACUGCAACAUCUGCCUCCCACGUUCAAAUGAUUCUCUUGCCUCGGCUUCCUGAGUAGCUGGGAUUACAGGCACCUGCCACCAUGCCCCGCUAAAUUUUUAUUUUUUGUAGAGAAGGGGUUUUGCCAUGUUGGUCAGGCUGCUCUCGAACUCCUGACCUCGUGAUCCACCUGCCUCAGCCUCCCAGUGUUGGGAUUACAGGAGUGAGCCACUGCGCCCGGCUUCUGUGGCUUUUCUGACAUACUCCAUGCCAAGCCCUCAUGUGAAAGUCUUGGUAGUAUGCAGUAGCAAGCAUGUACUAGAAUGAUAAAAACCAAGGGGCUUACCACAAGAUCUCUCUCUCUGUCUCUGUCUCUAGCUUUGUCUGCAUCCUGGCUUAAUUUCUUCUUACUCAAGCCUUUUCUCCAUAAGGCGAGAAACGUGGCCACAAAAGCUUCUGUAUUUCUCACUACACACAAUUCCUGUCAUCACAGAGAAUGAUUAACUAGGUCUAGUUCCAGUUUGGAAAAAUAUUCAAGGGAAGAAUUCUGAUUGUCUUAGAUAAAUAGGCCACUGGGCAUCUUUAGGGUCUUAGAGCCUGAGUCAGCACCUCUUUAGCAACUCCUUGGCUUUUAUGGAGAUAUUAGGGAGGGCUAAAGCAGGGGCUUCAGUUAAUGCUAAAUUAAUGGGCUAUUUCAUUCUGCACUUCUUGGAUAGCCGCCACUAAGAUUUUUGUUUGUUGCUAAAUUAAGAGCACGGCUAUUUUCGGGAGCUGCCGGGUCAAAAGGGGUGUAAAUCCGAUAAGCCUCCUGGAGGCGCUCUAAAAACGUUCUUGGUGACUUAUCGGGCCUUUGGACAACGUCGGUCGUCUUAGACAAGUUUAUGGGUUUCUGAGCGGCUCUUUUAAUACUUGCGAGGAGAUACCGGUGAAAAUCGUCUAAAGCUCUCUUUCUACUUGAGGAAUUUGGGUCCCAGUUAGGCCGGGUAGAGGGAAAGACCUCCUCAAGGAGGUUUCUAGCUUCUUCUUCCGGUCUAUUGGCUGAUGUGAGGAAGUACUUUUUGGCUUCUUUUUGGAUACGUUCUUUCUUUUCAGAGGUGAAAAGGGUUAAAAGGAGCUGUUGGCAAUCAUCUUAGGUGGGCGGGUGAGUCCAGAGUACAGACUCUGUCAGAGAGGUCAAAGCCUGGGGCUUUUCAGAGAAGGGAGGAUUAUGGGUUUUCUAAUUACAUAAGUCAGAAGUAGAAAAAGGGACACAAACUAAGAAGGGUGCUGAGCGCUCGUCACCUGGAGGGACUUGUGCCUCUCUCAGUGGUAGUAGAGGGGCUACUUCUUCCUGCCACGGUCAUGAUUGAGAGGCAACGGGUGGCGAGUCUACAGGGGACGUUACAGGGGGAGCUGAACUGGCUGAGGGUCGAGGCGAAAACUCGGUCUGGCUUAGGAGGACCUUGGAGGUAGAAUUAUGAAUGGCUCAUGAACGGAGCCAUGGAGAGUGGAUCCUGACUAAACUUAGCUAUUGAUCAAUGUAGAGAAACUGAUCAGGGUGGCUAGGAGUUUCAGUAACAACCUGCCACACAGCUUGAACAGUUGUGAGGUUCAAUGACCCUUCAGGGGGCCACUUGACUUUAAACUUUGGCCAUUUUAUUUUGCAGAGUGUCUGGAGCUUACCUUUUUUAAGGCGGACUUUAUAAUCCUCUGAACUGAGAGAAAAAUUCUGCAGCAUAC
rnacentral:lncRNA from 1 species